UCUCCGUUGGUGAACCAGCGGAGGGAUCAUUACAGGACUCGCAAGACUCCUACAACCCUGUGAACUUAACUUUAAGCACGUUGCUUCGGCGGGUGUCUCGGAGGGGGUUCUCCCUCCCCGAGACCCUAAACCCGCCGGCAGCCUACUAUACUCUGUCUCUUUGCGUUGGCAUCUCGAGUAAAAUCAAACAAGUUAAAACUUUCAACAACGGAUCUCUUGGUUCUG
rnacentral:misc_RNA from 1 species